CUUCAGACAAGGGAACAUUGUGUGUUUUAUGUACUGUUGUAGAUACAGCUUGAAGAAUCCCCUAGAUUUCCAGGCUGCCAUCACGGUGUGUUUCUUUGUUUUCUUUCCCAAAAUUUCCCAUUUCUCAUCCCUUCAGGUUCAGAACUGCUGUCUGUGACGUACUGGGGAAAUGGGAGACUCUGUGGCCCUUCAUUCACUGUACACGAAAGCAGCUUUGAAGCGAUUUCAUUUGCUCUCAGAAGCAGCACCCACUCUGAUGACUAACAGUUCCUGAUGGGUGAAACAAAGUGGACUGAUUUUUUUUUUUUUUUGACUUUUUUUUGCUGUCAAUGCAUGACGUUGGACUUUUCACUUCUGGAAACCUGCUUUCUAGCACUCUUGUCGGAAUUUGCAAUGUGACUCAUAUCAACCUCAUAUCAACAGAAAUGAAGGCGUGAGGAGUGUGUGCAGCCAACGGGGCUUCUUUGGAAGAAAGCAGUAUGUUUGCAGCCAGUGGAAGAUCCUCUUCAGCAUCAGGAUCAGGCGCUGAGGUCCCUUUUCCCUCUGGCUGCUCUCCGUGUCACUCGGGAUGGCCAUCUCCACCUCCUGCCACCAGCUGCCCCCUUCCCAAGGUGCUCACUUGCUCCUUCGGCAGCAUCCCCACGGGAGCCCUCCAGGACUGCAGGAAGAAGAGAAACACUGCAAUAAAUGGUAAUGCAAAUAGCAACUGCAGCUCUAAUUACAAGAGAGAAAAGGGAUUAAAAUUAGAACUGAGAAUAGUAAACAAAUCUAAAUUCUGCAGGGAAGAUGUGGGGGGCUUCUCGUGGGUUUUGAAAGUGGAAGUCAAUUCUCUUCUGUCGUUUCUUGUGUUCGCUGAGCCCAGCUCUCUCCCUCGAGAAAGAGCUUUCAAGAAAGUUUCGUUUCUCUGCGCGGUGUUGGUCCUGCAGCCCCAGUGCAGCCCUGCAGGCCACCGCCGCGCUGCCGACGCGGGUUGA
rnacentral:lncRNA from 1 species